AAAAAAAUCAAUAAUAUUUUUUUUAAUUUAAUUUUAUUAUUCAAUAAAUAACAUGUUACUUAUUAAAAAAAUCAUUAAUAUGUUUUUUUAAUUAUUUUUAUAACUCAAUAGUUUGGGGAGAGAAUUUAAACUCUUGAAUGUUUAAAUUAAAGAGAACAUGAGAUGUCAAUUGAGUUGUAAGACUCUUGGAAUGAUAUAUUUUUAGUUUAGUUUUACCUUUUUGUUUACCAGUUCCUGAUUUUGCCGCACAUGCUAAGAAGCAUAUUGCUAAUGCUUUUCAUAUUUCAAAUUGCAUUACCAGGUUGCAUAUAUAGCUGUGCUGAAGAUGAUACGCUUAACCCGUAAGAAGUUGCUGCUACUGGUGAUCACGUCAAAAUAAGUGUCAGAAUCUCCGUUUGUAACAUUUGUGUGGUUGUGGGUCUAUAAUAUGCUGUGUUCUAUCGCCCCUCUCAGCACCGUCAUUAUCAGCUACGUCUUCAAUAAACCAAAUUAAAUAAUUACAAAGAUAUCGUGUGUAAUUUGAAUUUAGUUAA